rnacentral:rRNA from 1 species
GACGAACGCUGGCGGCGUGCCUAAUACAUGCAAGUCGAGCGGAUCUUCAUUAGCUUGCUUUUGAAGAUCAGCGGCGGACGGGUGAGUAACACGUGGGCAACCUGCCUGUAAGACUGGGAUAACUUCGGGAAACCGGAGCUAAUACCGGAUAAUCCUUUUCCUCUCAUGAGGAAAAGCUGAAAGACGGUUUCGGCUGUCACUUACAGAUGGGCCCGCGGCGCAUUAGCUAGUUGGUGAGGUAACGGCUCACCAGGGCGACGAUGCGUAGCCGACCUGAGAGGGUGGUCGGCCACACUGGGACUGAGACACGGCCCAGACUCCUACGGGAGGCAGCAGUAGGGAAUCUUCCGCAAUGGACGAAAGUCUGACGGAGCAACGCCGCGUGAGCGAUGAAGGCCUUCGGGUCGUAAAGCUCUGUUGUCAGGGAAGAACAAGUACCGGAGUAACUGCCGGUACCUUGACGGUACCUGACCAGAAAGCCACGGCUAACUACGUGCCAGCCGCCGCGGUAAAAC